UCCCACCUCCACCACGCAGGGAAUGUUCCAGGCCAGGGCUUGGGAACCCUUGUCCUGCCCUUCCCAGCCCCACUUGGAGGUGUCAGUGAUAAAAUCCAGUGUGGUGUGUGGCACAGCAAUGACAAGAAGUGGUUGAAUUAUUCAUGGGGAAUAAAUUAGGCAUGAGCAGAGCCCCUUCUCGGCCCAGGAGGAUUUUGUGAGGGAUCUCUGAGCUGCUGGAGCCAAGAGCAGCCCCAGAGAACUCCACAGAGCUGUGCUGAGGGAAAGCUGGUACCAGAAACAACCCCACAACUGGAUACAGAUGUUCUCACAAUGUAGAGACAAAGACCCACAAUAAUAUUGAAUAUUUAUUCUAUAUUUUUUUGGAACAUGCCCAUUCUAUGGUGGAAAAGAACAGAGGACAAACUGUUUAAACAGCAAAAUGAUGAACAGCAACUAAAGAAAUGUAAAUAAUUCAUAAAUACUUGUUUCUGCUCAUCCUGGGGGC